rnacentral:tRNA from 1 species
UCCGGGCUAGCUCAAUCGGUAGAGCAGGCGGCUGUUAACCGCAAGGUUCACGGUUCGAGUCCGUGGCCCGGAGCCA